GACGAACGCUGGCGGCGUGCUUAACACAUGCAAGUCGAACGGUAAGGCCCUUCGGGGUACACGAGUGGCGAACGGGUGAGUAACACGUGGGUGAUCUGCCCUGCACUUCGGGAUAAGCCUGGGAAACUGGGUCUAAUACCGGAUAGGACCACUGCCUGCAUGGGUGGUGGUGGAAAGCUUUUGCGGUGUGGGAUGGGCCCGCGGCCUAUCAGCUUGUUGGUGGGGUGAUGGCCUACCAAGGCGACGACGGGUAGCCGGCCUGAGAGGGUGACCGGCCAAACUUGGACUGAGAUACGGCCCAGACUCCUACGGGAGGCAGCAGUGGGGAAUAUUGCACAAUGGGCGCAAGCCUGAUGCAGCGACGCCGCGUGAGGGAUGACGGCCUUCGGGUUGUAAACCUCUUUCAGCACCGACGAAGCGCAAGUGACGGUAGGUGCAGAAGAAGGACCGGCCAACUACGUGCCAGCCGCCGCAGUAA
rnacentral:rRNA from 1 species